CGUUGACGUAACGUGAAGACACAAACUUAUAAAAUGGACUUUCUCGUGUUGGUAUUUUGGUUCAUUGAUAAUCGGCUUUUCGUAAUACAAACGGUAAAACUUAUAAUUCCUGUUAUAAUGUUCACAUUCAGGAUUCAACAGUAUACACACACAGGCAAUCGACCAACAAUCAAGAAGUAGAAGGAGCAAGAAAAAAGAGGAGAAAGAGAAUAAAGAAAGACGAUGAUGAUAAGGGAGCAAAUUAAUAUAAGGAAAAAAAACUUUUACAUGUAAAGGUAUUUUCUCUUUCUCCCUCUCUCGAGCUUCCUCUCUUCUUUUUCUCUUUCUUCUUUUCUCAGGGUUACCUGGUAAGGUAGACACUCUGUAAGCUGUAAUACACUUACACAUAUACAAGCACGAAUUUCGAUAAACUUAAUGUCCUAAAGGUAAAGUCGAUGAUGAAAGGCCAAAGAAAAAAAAAUGAUGAGGAUAAAACGAUCCAAAGAAAUGAUGAUGAAUUAAUCGUUUACCCAAUUGACACAAUGGCACAACAAUAACAACAAAAAACCAUCGAUUACACUGAAUGAAUAUGGUGACAAUUUAUUAACAGAAAACUUUGACAAUCAACUGAAUGUGUAUUCAGGAAUCAAGGAAAUUAACAAAACAAGGUAAAUGAAGAGUAAGUUAAUUGUUAUUGUUGUAAAAUAGUCACAAAUUAAGUAACAAUCAUAUAGUAAGUAUUAUAUUUAUAUACAUGAAAAAAGUGAUAAUAUAUUAAUAGUAAGACCUGAUAAUAGUUGGUGCAAUUGCUAUCAGAAAAUAACAAUUAAUUUUUCCUCAAUUUUGUCAUUCAAUGUUAACGAAUAUACUUGUUUGAUCUCAGAUUAAUUAGAGAGACUUAAUUACAAUGUAAAAUAAUUAAUGAUCAACGAUAUAUGUACACAUGGAAAUGAAGAGUAAUCAAGAAAAGGUAAUUUUGUCAUGGGAUUGUCUCAUUUUUUUCUGUUCUUCAAGAAAGAGGAAAAGAAAGAGAUGGAUCAUCCUUAUCAUCCAUCACCACAAAAUAACGUGCUAAUAUCGUAUAUAUUAUAUGAUAGAAAAACAAAAUUAGACAGAGAAGAAAAAAGAAAGAGAAAAUUUUAGUUUCGUCGUAAGCGACUGGCCUAAUAACGACGUAGACGAAAAAGUCUUUCGAUAAACUUUAUCUUCUCUGUCUUUAUAAUAUCUUAUCUCUCUCUCUCUCUCUCUCUCUCUCUCUCUUUCUCCCUCUUUACCCUUCUCAUUUAUCAUCAUUCGCAUUUCUCUUCCAACACAACAACAACAACACGACACAAUUAAAACUACAUAUGACAACGAGAUGAUAUUAUAACUAAAUUGCUGCUUCAAUCCUGUUUACACAUGUUGAUUCAAGUUGAUUAACUUUGAUUAUCAACUUCUAUUGUCCUUUGUAACCUUCUCGAUUAUGACGAUUUAAUUUUCCCGUCUCAUUUUUGGACUAUCAAUUAACAAAUAUCAACGAUAAUAAUAACGGUACAUUAGCCCUACUUUUAAGAAUCGUCUACGUAUCAAGUUAAUCAUUGGAUUGAAAGAUAAAUUCAUUUACGAUUUAAUUAUCUUGAUAUAUGAUUUAAUUGUACAAUCAAAUUGUAAUUAACUUUCGUUGUUAACCAGGGUAACAAAAGUGAUUAAGGUUAAUUAUUGAUCAUUUCAAGCAACAAUUGGACUCACAAUUAAAUAGACAGAGGAAAAGGAUUGAUCAUCAUUCAUUGAUUAUCGUCAUUAAUACUAAUCAUCAGCAUCAUCAUCAAUAUUUUUCAUUCAAUUUAGUCAUGAGAUGAAUUCAUAUCUAAUCUGAUUGAUUAGAUAUCGAUGAAUUUUUUUUUUUUGAGAGUUUAUAAUUGUUUCGAUUAUUGUAAUUACAAUUAUGUAAGUUGGUUUUGAUUUCAAGUUGAAUGGUUGAUUGAGUGCAUACCACAAUUUAAUUAGCGAUCAUUAUGAUAUCAGAUUGUUUUAUUUACUUAUGAUUAUUUAUUUUGGUUUAAUUGUUGAUUGUUUACAAUUAAAACAAAUGAUCGACUAAU